GAUGAACGCUGGCGGCGUGCCUAAUACAUGCAAGUCGAGCGAACAGACGAGGAGCUUGCUCCUCUGAUGUUAGCGGCGGACGGGUGAGUAACACGUGGAUAACCUACCUAUAAGACUGGGAUAACUUCGGGAAACCGGAGCUAAUACCGGAUAAUAUAUUGAACCGCAUGGUUCAAUAGUGAAAGACGGUUUUGCUGUCACUUAUAGAUGGAUCCGCGCCGCAUUAGCUAGUUGGUAAGGUAACGGCUUACCAAGGCAACGAUGCGUAGCCGACCUGAGAGGGUGAUCGGCCACACUGGAACUGAGACACGGUCCAGACUCCUACGGGAGGCAGCAGUAGGAAAUCUUCCGCAAUGGGCGAAAGCCUGACGGAGCAACGCCGCGUGAGUGAUGAAGGUCUUCGGAUCGUAAAACUCUGUUAUUAGGGAAGAACAAAUGUGUAAGUAACUAUGCACGUCUUGACGGUACCUAAUCAGAAAGCCACGGCUAACUACGUG
rnacentral:rRNA from 1 species